GAUGAACGCUGGCGGCGUGCCUAAUACAUGCAAGUCGAGCGAAUGGAUUAAGAGCUUGCUCUUAUGAAGUUAGCGGCGGACGGGUGAGUAACACGUGGGUAACCUGCCCAUAAGACUGGGAUAACUCCGGGAAACCGGGGCUAAUACCGGAUAACAUUUUGAACCGCAUGGUCCGAAAUUGAAAGGCGGCUUCGGCUGUCACUUAUGGAUGGACCCGCGUCGCAUUAGCUAGUUGGUGAGGUAACGGCUCACCAAGGCAACGAUGCGUAGCCGACCUGAGAGGGUGAUCGGCCACACUGGGACUGAGACACGGCCCAGACUCCUACGGGAGGCAGCAGUAGGGAAUCUUCCGCAAUGGACGAAAGUCUGACGGAGCAACGCCGCGUGAGUAAUGAAGGCUUUCGGGUCGUAAAACUCUGCUGUUAGGGAAGAACAAGUGCUAGUUGAAUAAGCUGGCACCUUGACGGUACCUAACCAGAAAGCCACGGCUAACUACGUGCCAGCCGCCGCCGUAA
rnacentral:rRNA from 1 species